rnacentral:rRNA from 1 species
UACGGGGGGGGCAAGCGUUGUUCGGAAUUACUGGGCGUAAAGGGCUCGUAGGCGGCCAACUAAGUCGGACGUGAAAUCCCCAGGCUCAACCUGGGAACUGCGUCCGAUACUGGAUGGCUUGAAUCCGGGAGAGGGAUGCAGAAUUCCAGGUGUAGCGGUGAAAUGCGCAGAUAUCUGAGGAAGAACCGUGCCGAGGCGGUCAGCUGGGCCGA